rnacentral:rRNA from 1 species
UACAGAGGGUGCGAGCGUUGUUCGGAAUUACUGGGCGUAAAGCGCGCGCAGGCGGCCACUUAAGUCUGUUGGUGAAAGACCGGGGCUCAACCCCGUGUCAGCCAUGGAUACUGGGAGGCUGGAGACAGGUAGAGGCAAGCGGAAUUCCGGGUGUAGCGGUGGAAUGCGUAGAGAUCCGGAAGAACACCGGAGGCGAAGGCGGCUUGCUGGACCUGGUCUGACGCUGAGGCGCGAAAGCGUGGGGAGCGAACAGG